GACGUAGGGCGCGAGCGUUGUCCGGAUUUAUUGGGCGUAAAGAGCUCGUAGGCGGCUUGUCGCGUCGUCCGUGAAAACCUGCAGCUCAACUGCAGGCUUGCGGUCGAUACGGGCAGGCUGGAGUUCGGUAGGGGAGACUGGAAUUCCUGGUGUAGCGGUGAAAUGCGCAGAUAUCAGGAGGAACAACGGUGGCGAAGGCGGGUCUCUGGACCGAUACUGACGCUGAGGAGCGAAAGCGUGGGGAGCGAACAGG
rnacentral:rRNA from 1 species